ACAGAAGUGGUCCCCACCUCAUAUGCAAAAGCCCAUUCACUCUCUCUCUUUCACUUUCCUCUUUCACUUUCCCUUCCCCAUUCUCUCUCUACGCUGGUUCCGUCGAAACCGACGAUCUUCUUCUUCUUCCUCGCCCCAGCUGCUCGCCCCAGUCGCUCGACCCAGCCGCCUCAGCCGCCCCAACGGCGACCCCUGAAUCUCGUCCCACCCACCCACAAUGGGGCGACGUCGGUCUCGACCCUUGCGACCCGCGACCCAAGCGUGCUCUGGGCGCGAUUUUAACAACACUGAGAGUUAGUAAUUAGAUUUUUAGUUAGAGGUUUUAUGUGUAUAUGUUUUUAUUAGGAAUAAAAGAAAUACAUUAGGAAAUUGAAUUAAUGAGAGAAUUAGAAAAAGAAAAAGAGAAAGAAAAAGUUUUGAAAGUGAUGAGUAAGUAGGACAAAAAUGUGUCUUGUGGAGAAAAAAUUAGGAAGAAAAUUAAGGAAAAGAAAAUAGAAAAAUAAUAGUCAUCCUCAUCUUUCUCCUCUCUAUUUUUUUGUUCCCUCUCUCCACGCCAAGUUCUCCCUCUCUGUAAAGAUUUUCAAUAGCCCUCUACUCCCUCCGAUCAGCCACCGCGACUCCUCCGGUCGCUCCAUCGUGUAACAUGUAAAACACUCUAUCAAUCCAAGCUCUCAAUUCCCCUUCUUCCCCUCAAUUUUGGAGCUUAGGUUGCAAACACAUCUCCACUUAUCUUUGGAAAAUAGUUGAAAUUAGAGGUGAACCGAGCGCAAGCACAAGCGAUAAGGGAAAAGGGCACCUCCAUGGUUGACUAAGCUAGUAAUAGCGGUUUCUUUUGUGACGUGUACAGAGUAUAGAAGUGAGUGAACUCGCUAGUUGGCAGCAGCACGUGUCAAGUCACUACCCCUUUUUGCUGGUAAAGUUGGAGUUUACAAGUGGUACACUAGCUGCCUCCUUGGAGCUUUAUGGAAGCAAGAAUCGAGAGGGAAGAGGAAGGAGAAAGGGAAAGGAAAAGGGUUCCCUUCUUGUAGCUACUUGGUUCCCAUACUAAUUUAGCCAACUCCUAGUCUUGCUUAAUAGAGUUGGUAGGAUGAAAAGUGUCAUGUAGGUGUGAGUGUUGUCUCUUUCACUUAUGUAAUUAUGUACUAAUAGCAUCUCCAUUAUCCAUGUAAUUGUAUUUCCAAAUUGUACUCUUAAUAAAAGCAUAUCUCUUACUUUUAUCCUUAAA